rnacentral:rRNA from 1 species
AUUGAACGCUGGCGGCAUGCUUUACACAUGCAAGUCGAACGGCAGCGCGGGCUUCGGCCUGGCGGCGAGUGGCGAACGGGUGAGUAAUGCAUCGGAACGUGCCCAGUAGUGGGGGAUAGCCCGGCGAAAGCCGGAUUAAUACCGCAUACGACCUGAGGGUGAAAGCGGGGGACCGAAAGGCCUCGCGCUAUUGGAGCGGCCGAUGUCGGAUUAGCUAGUUGGUGGGGUAAAGGCUUACCAAGGCGACGAUCCGUAGCUGGUCUGAGAGGACGACCAGCCACACUGGGACCGAGACACGGCCCAGACUCCUACGGGAGGCUGCAGUGGGGAAUUUUGGACAAUGGGGGCAACCCUGAUCCAGCCAUGCCGCGUGCGGGAAGAAGGCCCUCGGGUUGUAAACCGCUUUUGUUCGGGAAGAAAUCCUCUGGGCUAAUACCCCGGGGGGAUGACGGUACCGGAAGAAUAAGCACCGGCUAACUACGUG